rnacentral:rRNA from 1 species
CUUUUAAAAUUGAAGAGUUUGAUCAUGGCUCAGAUUGAACGCUGGCGGCAGGCCUAACACAUGCAAGUCGAACGGUAACAGGAAACAGCUUGCUGUUUCGCUGACGAGUGGCGGACGGGUGAGUAAUGUCUGGGAAACUGCCUGAUGGAGGGGGAUAACUACUGGAAACGGUAGCUAAUACCGCAUAACGUCGCAAGACCAAAGAGGGGGACCUUCGGGCCUCUUGCCAUCGGAUGUGCCCAGAUGGGAUUAGCUAGUAGGUGGGGUAACGGCUCACCUAGGCGACGAUCCCUAGCUGGUCUGAGAGGAUGACCAGCCACACUGGAACUGAGACACGGUCCAGACUCCUACGGGAGGCAGCAGUGGGGAAUAUUGCACAAUGGGCGCAAGCCUGAUGCAGCCAUGCCGCGUGUAUGAAGAAGGCCUUCGGGUUGUAAAGUACUUUCAGCGGGGAGGAAGGGAGUAAAGUUAAUACCUUUGCUCAUUGACGUUACCCGCAGAAGAAGCACCGGCUAACUCCGUGCCAGCAGCCGCGGUAAUACGGAGGGUGCAAGCGUUAAUCGGAAUUACUGGGCGUAAAGCGCACGCAGGCGGUUUGUUAAGUCAGAUGUGAAAUCCCCGGGCUCAACCUGGGAACUGCAUCUGAUACUGGCAAGCUUGAGUCUCGUAGAGGGGGGUAGAAUUCCAGGUGUAGCGGUGAAAUGCGUAGAGAUCUGGAGGAAUACCGGUGGCGAAC